AUGCAUCUAUUUGACAGACCUGAAGCAGUUACUGUCUGGUGCUUAGAUUCCAGUGCAGAUGCAAAAAAAAGGGUCCUCACUCAUGCUUUCUGUCUGUCUGAUUGUGGUAGCCAAGAUUUAAAUGGGUAACACACAC
rnacentral:snoRNA from 1 species